GGCCUGGAUCUUAGGAGCUGUUCUCCUAGACCCGCCCACUAAACCAUACUUAGGGUCACGUGGUUCCCCCAAACACUUUGUGAGCAAGCGCUUUCUCAACCUUAAUUUUUAAUAUUUUUUUCCUGUUCUGGUCAAGGUCCUGCUCUUGCCGUUAUCCCUGCCCCGGGGAUUCCAUUCCCUCCCGCUCAGUCAUCAGCUUCCUGCCACACAGCUCCACCUGCGGACCUGCUCUGCACAACCUCCCUGCUGCUUGCUGACAGACUAGGAAAAACUGGUUCCAUAGGAAGCUGAACUCUGACAUCUGAGAGCUUUCUUCACUCUAUGAAUUCUCUGAGGAAUUCCAAGACUACGUUUAAGGGAGGAUGUUGUCCUUGGAGAGGCUCUACCCAGCAGCUAAAGCAGACAGAUAUAGACACCUAUAGUGAAACAGUGAUGGAGCUGGGGGUCUCUUAUGGAAGAAUAAGAAGAAAGAUUGGGGACCCUGAAGGGGACAAGAUCUCCACAAGAAGACCAACAGAGUCAAGUAAUCUGUACUCUUGAGGUUCUCAGAAACUGAACCAUCAACCAAAGAACAUACAGGGGCUGGACCUAGACUUCCCAGCAAAUAUGUAGGUGAUGUACAGCUUGGACUUCAUAUGGGUCCUAUACAACUGGAACAGAGUCUAUCCCAAAAGCUUUUGCCUGAAUGAGGGAUAUAUUCUUCUAGCUGGGUCGUCUUGGUUGGCCUUAGUAGGAGAGGAAGCAUCUAGUCUCACAGAGAUUUGAAGUGCCAGGGUGGAAAGAUACAUAGAGGGAAGCCUACCUGCUCAGAGAAGAUAAGGGGGUGAAGGAAGGAUUGUGCUUAUGUAUUGGGAAGGGGCAGGAUGUGACAGAGAAGGCCCAGUGAGCAAGAUGUAAGGUAAGUAAAAAAAAAAAAAAAAAAAAAAAAA